CGGCGCGCUUAAUGCAUGCAAGUCGAGCGAUGAUGACCUCUUCGGGGGGUACAUCAGCGGCAGACGGGUGAGUAACACGUAGGUGAUCUACCCCAGAGACGGGGAUAACGGGUGGAAACAUCCGCUAAUACCGGAUAGACUUGUUCGGUCAAAGGGACAAGGAAAGGCUCCGGCGCUCUGGGAGGAGCCUGCGGCCCAUCAGCUAGUUGGCGGGGUAACGGCCCACCAAGGCAAAGACGGGUAGGGGGUGUGAGAGCAUGGCCCCCCACAAUGGGACUGGAACACGGCCCAUACUCCUACGGGAGGCAGCAGCAGGGAAUAUUGCACAAUGGACGGAAGUCUGAUGCAGCGACGCCGCGUGGAUGAAGAAGGCCCUCGGGUUGUAAAAUCCUUUACGGGGGGAAGAGGAAGGACGGUACCCCUGGAACAAGUGUCGGCUAACUACGUGCCAGCAGCCGCGGUAAGACGUAAGGACACAAGCGUUAUCCGGAUUUACUGGGCGUAAAGCGUCUGCAGGCGGACAGGUAAGUUGGGCGUGAAAGCUCCGGGCCCAACCCGGAGAGGUCGUUCAAUACUGCGUGUCUAGAGGGUGUCAGAGGGGAGUGGAACUUCCGGAGUAGCGGUAAAAUGCGCAGAGAUCGGAAAGAACACCAAUGGCGAAGGCAGCUCCCUGGGGCAACCCUGACGCUAAGAGACGAAAGCUAGGGGAGCGAACAGGAUUAGAGACCCUGGU
rnacentral:rRNA from 1 species